rnacentral:rRNA from 1 species
CCUACGGGCGGCUGCAGUGGGGAAUAUUGGACAAUGGGCGAAAGCCUGAUCCAGCCAUGCCGCGUGUGUGAAGAAGGCCUUCGGGUUGUAAAGCACUUUCAGUGGGGAAGAAAGCCUUGGGGCUAAUACCCUCGAGGAAGGACAUCACCCACAGAAGAAGCACCGGCUAACUCCGUGCCAGCAGCCGCGGUAAUACGGAGGGUGCGAGCGUUAAUCGGAAUUACUGGGCGUAAAGCGCGCGUAGGCGGUCUGAUAAGCCGGUUGUGAAAGCCCCGGGCUCAACCUGGGAACGGCAUCCGGAACUGUCAGGCUAGAGUGCAGGAGAGGAAGGUAGAAUUCCCGGUGUAGCGGUGAAAUGCGUAGAGAUCGGGAGGAAUACCAGUGGCGAAGGCGGCCUUCUGGACUGACACUGACGCUGAGGUGCGAAAGCGUGGGUAGCAAACAGGAUUAGAUACCCCUGUAUC